rnacentral:rRNA from 1 species
CGCUGACGAGUGGCGGACGGGUGCGUAACGCGUAGGAAUCUGCCUAUUAGUGGGGGACAACAUGGUGAAAACCAUGCUAAUACCGCAUACGCCCUACGGGGGAAAGCGGGGGAUCUUCGGACCUCGCGCUAAUAGAUGAGCCUGCGUUAGAUUAGCUUGUUGGUGGGGUAAAGGCCUACCAAGGCGACGAUCUAUAGCUGUUCUGAGAGGAAGAUCAGCCACACUGGGACUGAGACACGGCCCAGACUCC